rnacentral:rRNA from 1 species
GACGAACGCUGGCGGCGUGCCUAAUACAUGCAAGUAGAACGCUGAAGGAGGAGCUUGCUUCUCUGGAUGAGUUGCGAACGGGUGAGUAACGCGUAGGUAACCUGCCUGGUAGCGGGGGAUAACUAUUGGAAACGAUAGCUAAUACCGCAUAAUAGUAGAUGUUGCAUGACAUUUGCCUAAAAGGUGCAAUUGCAUCACUACCAGAUGGACCUGCGUUGUAUUAGCUAGUUGGUGGGGUAACGGCUCACCAAGGCGACGAUACAUAGCCGACCUGAGAGGGUGAUCGGCCACACUGGGACUGAGACACGGCCCAGACUCCUACGGGAGGCAGCAGUAGGGAAUCUUCGGCAAUGGACGGAAGUCUGACCGAGCAACGCCGCGUGAGUGAAGAAGGUUGUCGGAUCGUAAAGCUCUGUUGUAAGAGAAGAACGAGUGUGAGAGUGGAAAGUUCACACUGUGACGGUAUCUGACCAGAAAGGGACGGCUAACUACGUG